UGCCUUCCAACGCGUGCACCAUCCACAUCGUGACUCGUCUCCACCACGAGGAUUCGAACUUUCUCUCCCUUUAUUAAUAAAGUAAUUCCCGUUUUUCUUCCUCUCGAAUCUUGUCGAAGAGAGAAGGAGGAUGGUGGUGUUCGUAUUUCUCUCCACCUUUUUUCAUCACGAUUCUUACGAAAGUUCUUACGAAAGAGAGAUAGACGAAAAGGAAGGAGAAAAGGUGUCGAGGAGGCGCGCACGUGUUGCUCGUUGAAUGUAAAAGCGGCCAUUUACGCGUUGUGUUGUUUCGCGACUCCCGAUUGGACGACGAAAAAGUUACGCGAGAUUGUGCAACGUGCGAAUCGAUAACACUCGUAACGAAACGUCCACGCUGGAUCCACGAUGUGUAUUUUUUUUUUGUGGCCCGCCGAUUCCGUCUGCCGACCUUAACCUUUCGAACGACUCGGAUCUACUCGACGAGAGAGAGAGAGAGAGAAAGAGAGAGAGUCGAACAAAGUUUCACGUCACGGAUAUCAUCAUGUUCUAUUUCUCAUCGAUUUUCAACGCGAUUCUCAAGUGUCUUCUAAAUUAAAGUUUAAGCCAAUCAAAUAGGGAUAUUUGAAGGGACAGCUUCCUACACUUUAUACGAACGGAGCUUCACGAUGAACGAAUCAGCACUACGAGACAAAACUUUUAUCUUUCGUUGUAUAGCAAUUAUAUCUACGUGAUAAUCUUUGAAGAAUUGUUGAAUUCGACAACUUUUUCUUCACGGUUGGAGAGAAUUUUUGUUUUUCACGGAAAAAAAAGAAAGUGUCGAAUCGGAAACUCAACUUGUUGCGAAGAGAAGAUAGGUGAAGGAGGUGUGUUCCGCGAGUGUGAAUGUGUUUCGUCGCUGGUGUCGCUGUGGGUUCCAACCGACGUGUACACGUACUAUUUCGCGCCUCGUGUGUCGCUCAAUGAUCGAUCGAUCAUUUCGUCCUGCAACCGCAACGUGCUUCAACGAGGAUCGGUGAAAGAUGAAGUCGGCAACGCUUUCGAGCUCGAUUCCACAGAUGUUUACACGGCUACGUUUCGCUUUUCACGUCCACAGGGAAAUGCAGACGCGCGUCUACGAAAUGGCGCAUAACGGUAUGGAAAGUACUAUCGCGCUAUACACUACUUCGAUGGAAGUUAAAUCGUGAUCGCUUUGGCGAGAGGGCGAAGGACAAAGAGGAGCAUUGAGUGCUUCGUCGUAGAGCUCGUCGAAGAAGGAGUGCAAGCAAGCACGUGACAUGAGUACCGUGACCCGAGACACUUGUUGCACGGCUGCUGUCCCUUAAAGAGUCUCGUAUAUACGGUGUGUUCCUUCAGUGCGACGAGAUUAGUCAACGUUCGAAAUAAAACGCGAGAGAAAGAAGAGAAAAGGAAGAGAUAGGUGUAUGCACGUGUCGUUCGAAUUCUGUUCAAUCUCGCGUUUCCUCGAUACGUACUCGUGGCAUGUCGGUGAUAUAUCUUUUUAACCAGGCUCGUGAGAAAUCGCGUUUCAUGCUCAAGGAUCUUCCGUUGACGAGCAAAUCGCGAGUGGUAAUCGUGUGAUGCCGUUAAGACGAAUUUUUUUUGUUUCUCGACUGCUGAGUGCACGCGUGUUUCGUGGCUCUGUCUAAGAUCGGUGGAUCUCGGUUUCGACUUUGAUCGCGCGAAAGGGAGGAGGUCGAUCGUAGGAGGAAGGAAGAAAGAACAUGAACGUGAUCGUGCGCUCAGGCCGGUGACACCGGUCGAGGUUGUGUGUGCGUGUGUCUAUCUUCGCUGAUAACUCCCAGUUGGUGGACUCUCACUGAGACGACGGAUAUCUUUGUUCGGUGGAUGUCGUCGGGGUUGUAGAAGGGUGUAUUCGGCGAAGGCAGGAAGCACCGAAGAACCGGAAGGCUGGAUCACCUCCGUGGAAUGUCUUCGGGCGCCAAGCGGCUGGUGCAGUCGCUUCGGGGC
rnacentral:lncRNA from 1 species